GACGAACGCUGGCGGCGUGCUUAACACAUGCAAGUCGAACGGAAAGGCCCUGCUUUUGUGGGGUGCUCGAGUGGCGAACGGGUGAGUAACACGUGAGUAACCUGCCCUUGACUUUGGGAUAACUUCAGGAAACUGGGGCUAAUACCGGAUAGGAGCUCCUGCUGCAUGGUGGGGGUUGGAAAGUUUCGGCGGUGGGGGAUGGACUCGCGGCUUAUCAGCUUGUUGGUGGGGUAGUGGCUUACCAAGGCUUUGACGGGUAGCCGGCCUGAGAGGGUGACCGGCCACAUUGGGACUGAGAUACGGCCCAGACUCCUACGGGAGGCAGCAGUGGGGAAUAUUGCACAAUGGGCGGAAGCCUGAUGCAGCAACGCCGCGUGCGGGAUGAAGGCCUUCGGGUUGUAAACCGCUUUCGCCUGUGACGAAGCGUGAGUGACGGUAAUGGGUAAAGAAGCACCGGCUAACUACGUG
rnacentral:rRNA from 1 species